ACUAAACACAUUGACUGAACUAGUAACUUCGAGAAAUCAUUUUUCUUCAUUGAAUUUUAUUUAAUUGACAACUACAACAACAAUCCUAUUAACAACCGAAUCUCCGUGCUAAUUUUCCAUUGAUACACAAAUUUAUAAAACCAGUGUAUACAGUAGAAUGGUGAUUUAUUGAACAAAUUUAUUUUGGAUCUCACAUUUACCAGACGAAAAAAAAAAACGGCGUGUCGCAGUGCUUAAAUUAUUCAGUGUGAGAUAAAAAUUGACAUGAUUAUUAGUCGACGCAGUUUAUUCCAAUGAUUCUGGAAUUUUUUUUGGCAAAAUAAAUAAAAUCAUUCUGGAAUCAAAUUAAAUUGGUUGAUUGCUGCAUUGUAUUUGUGUGAACACACUAUGUGCCGGUGGCACGGCGGCAGAAGGAAUGGUUUAUUUCGUGACGAAAUUAUCACAAUUGUUAAUAAUUUUUAUUGGAUAUCGACGUAAAAUUUCGAAUGGACCAUUUGUAUAGUAAUCGUUUUGAAGUUUUGGAUACUUUUGGAGGUGAGGGGGGGCUGGUUUACAUUUAAGUUGCGGUAAAUCAAACUGCAAGAUAUACGCUCCAGUACACUUGGUUGAUUUCAAUAACUUUCUCUUUCACUCGGUCGUAUUCAAGUUUUCGGGAUAUACCACUUGAUCGGAUGUUGCAAAACGGGCCCCAAACAACAAAAAGUACUCCUAGGAGUGAGCGAGAAAAAAAACGAACUGAAAAUAAAUAUGAAAGAAUGCGUAAAAUUGUUUAUGAAUAUUUGAUACAUGAUGCAAAAAAGCACACUGAUUUCCCCGAAAGAUUAACAUGGGGCAAAAAUAAGCGAAAACGAUAGCCAAAUGGCAAUAAUAUUGAAAGCCAACUAAAUAAAACCUAUUGA